GUGUAAAUCAAGAGAGCUAGACCUGAGAGCUGAAAGUGUCUUUGUAAAGGCAAUAGCAAUCACUGUAAGCAGAGCUACAGAGUGGACAUACCUGACUGGAAGGAAAGAUGCAGAGGAAAAGGCAGAGGGGGCGAUACCUGCCUGGAAUGAGAGAGCUGCUGCCUGGUUGGGUGGCAAAGCUCCAGAAGAAGGGGUACAGGGAGCUCUGUCACACACCAUAACUACUACAAUAUAGUGGUUA